rnacentral:lncRNA from 1 species
AUGAGGAGGAGGAAGGGGCCGACGAUGAAGACUGCGGGCUCAGCGCACCACCAGGCACGCGACGCACAGCUUGGAGGGCCCGAUGCAGUCGUCGUGGCAGAAGGCUCCGCAGCCCUUGCACAUGAUCAUGGCCUUGAGGCGGCAGUAGCACCUGGACUGCACCUCCUCCAGGCCCCCCCCCUCCAUGAAGCUCUGCUCGGUCGAGGGCUCCCCGGGGGGGCCGGGGGCCAGGGUGUGGCCCGCGGGGAUGGUGGUGACCGUCACCGAGAACGACAUCACGCUGCCGUGGACCCCCCCGCCGCCCGACCGCUCCGACGGCGGGGGGGGGGACGCGCCGACGGUGCCGCCGUAGGGCGACCCCAGCGCCGCGUCCUGGUCCCGGUGGGCGGGGCUCCUCUGCGUCUGGGCGGCGCUCGGCCGCUGGCUGAGGUCCGGGGCCGUGGGGCACGGCUCCGGACUCCCCUGACGGCCGUCGCCGCGCUGGAGGCUCCUCUGGUCCGCCCGAGACCAGGGGCUGCGCGCCGCGGCUCCGGCCUCGGGCGGGGCUCCGGCCUCGGGCGCGGCUCCGGCCCCGGGCGGGGCUCCUGCCCCGGGCGGGGCUGGCUCGGCGCUGGCCUCCUGGCCCAGCGGGCCGCAGCCUCGCCGGCCGGCCUCGCUCUCGGCCGUUCCGCGGUGCUGGGCGCCGGUGGGUUCCUGUUGCCUGGCGACGGAGCAUCCCUGCUGCUCCUCCUUAAGGCCGGCCGUCGGGGGCGGGAGGUCCUCGUCCUUCCCGUCCUGCGGUGUGUCCGCCGCCCCCCGCAGCGGGGCUCCGGCGGCGGGGGGCCGGCGCGGGCCGCUCUGGGGGCCGCGGCCGUACGUGGCCACGUUGAGGAGGUAGUGCCCCGUCAUGGCCGGCCGCGCCGUCCUCCUGCGGAGGCAGCCCACGGAGAAGCGGGGCCGCGGCAGGCCGUCCCCGGGCUGCGGGGGGGGGCGGUGGGCGGGCGGGGGGCCCCCCCCCCGGUCCUCCGCGGGGGGGGCCCCCCGCCCGCCCACCGCCCCCCCCCGCUGGGACGCCUUCCUCUGCAUCAGCGCCUGCAGGAUCUGCUCCUGCGUCUCCCGGUCGGGGGCGUCGCCGUGGAGACGCUGAUCGGGGAGGGCCCCCCGGCGGGGGGGGGGGGCCCGCCGGGUGCCACGCCUUGCCCUUGCUCCCGGCGUGGGGCCGGGGGAGGAUCUGCUCGAUGGGGACCUCCUUCCCCUGGAGGAGCUGCGUGA